rnacentral:sRNA from 1 species
ACUGGGCGUGGUGGUGCACGCCUGUAAUCCCAGCAGCUCAGAAGACUGAGGCAGGAAGAUCGUGAGUUCAAAGCCAGACUCAGCAAUUUAGUGAGACCCUGUCUCAA